AAAGAAGUAAAAUUAUUUAUCUCGAACUGAUCCAGACUUGUCAAGAAAUAUACUUGGGGGAUUUUUGUUUUAUUAAUCUGUAGAGUAUCUUGCAGACUUUAACUAGUGGUACCCUGUUUUAGCAAGUGAACAAGGUUGUUUUAUUCCUUUGAAUGCCUCCAGAUCCAGUAUAUACAUAUCUACCAGUUUAAUGUAUUAAUCUUUGUUGCCUUCGUAGAUAUCAUUCCAGUACUGAAGCAUGCGCAGCAAUUCUCUAGAAGACUGCCAAAGCAUCUCCGAAGGCGGCUGAGAAGCUUAAAAUAACUGCUACUGAACUGACUAAGCUGCGAAUUUCAGAUGGCAUUAUCCCUAACCUGAGAUGCCGAGGGGAGCUGGAAGUGUGAGAAAUGCAACAAUAUCAAUUAUCCUUUUAGGACAAAGUGCAAUAGACAAAAUUGUGGGGCUGAUAAGCCGUCCGACACCAAGAAGUCCCCUUUAGAACCUGUAGAUGAUAAUGAUCAGGUCUGUUUGAUGAUGUCUAUAUGUUCUAUGUACACCCGUAGCUAUUCUUUAUCAAUCUUUGUAUGUAUUGGAAAAUUGAGAACAGCUCAAGUGCGCAAUUAUUAUGUAAAGUAUUAUCUCUU